rnacentral:rRNA from 1 species
GAUGAACGCUAGCGGCAGGCCUAACACAUGCAAGUCGAGGGAGAAGCCCUUUCGGGGGCAGAAACCGGCGCACGGGUGCGUAACGCGUAUGCAACCUACCUCUCACAUGGGGAUAGCCCGAAGAAAUUUGGAUUAAUACCCCAUAAUAAUAUUGGCUGGCAUCAUUUGAUAAUUAAAACUGCGGUGGUGAAAGAUGGGCAUGCGUCCUAUUAGCUAGUUGGAGUGGUAACGGCACCCCAAGGCUACGAUAGGUAGGGGUCCUGAGAGGGAGAGCCCCCACAGUGGUACUGAGACAAUGACCAGACUGCUACGGGAGGCAGCAGUGAGGAAUAUUGGUCAAUGGUCGGAUGACUGAACCAGCCAUGCCGCGUGCAGGAAGAAUGCCUUAUGGGUUGUGACCUGCUUUUAGAUGGGAAGAUUAAGGCGUACGGGUACGUUGAUGACGGUACCGUAUGAAUAAGCAUCGGCUAACUCCGUG